rnacentral:rRNA from 1 species
AACGAACACUGGCGGCAGGCUUAACACAUGCAAGUCGAACGCCCGUAGCAAUACGGGAGUGGCGGACGGGUGAGUAACGCGUGGGAACGUGCCCUAAGGUACGGAAUAACUGCGGGAAACUGCAGCUAAUAUCGUAUGUGCCCGAAAGGGGAAAGAUUUAUCGCCUUAGGAGCGGCCCGCGUCGGAUUAGCUAGUUGGUGGGGUAACGGCCUACCAAGGCUUCGAUCCGUAGCUGGUCUGAGAGGACGAUCAGCCACACUGGGACUGAGACACGGCCCAGACUCCUACGGGAGGCAGCAGUGGGGAAUCUUGCGCAAUGGGGGAAACCCUGACGCAGCCAUGCCGCGUGAACGAUGAAGGCCUUAGGGUUGUAAAGUUCUUUUGCCCGUGACGAUGAUGACGGUAACGGGAGAAUAAGCUCCGGCUAACUUCGUGCCAGCCGCCGCGGUAA